AUUGGGAUCGACUUGAAGGCAGUCCAUUUCUCCCUCCUCUUCUUUGUCCGAUGAAGACAUCUGAGGGCCUGAUCAGCAUCUUGCCUGAUGAAGAGUUCUGGAGAACCCAAAAGCUUGCUGCUAUUUUGUGACAAUUUGAGUGGCCCUAAUAAAGGAGCCCACAGGGGCAGUGGGAGAUCUUCAGUCCUUCCGUCUUGUAAUUAAAUGAGUCGUUUGCACACAGAGGCAGACCCAAAUUUGCUAUCACUGAAUGGGGAGCAGCAGACAAUCUUGUCUGUCUGGCAUACCUAAUUAACAUAUUCUGAUGAGACAAAAACAUCUUCGUGUUGGCAUGUGCCACUGGAGUAGAAGAAAAGUGCAUGCUACUGCAUGUAGACGGAAUAUAAAACAUCAUGAUCUGUUUUUCUUAAAGGUUUGAGCCAAAGU